rnacentral:lncRNA from 1 species
UUCGUCGCGAGAACUUGUGUCUGCGAAAUACGGUGGUUGCACAUGAGCGAUUAUAUUGAAUUGUCCCACUUUGUCCCCUUUCGCAGUAAGUAGAAAUGUUUCGCAUUUCGCCGAGAAGAAACGCUCGUGGAAUCAGGCCUUUACUGCAUUGAUGUUGCAUUCUCGGAAUUACAUUUUUACAGCAAUUGUGCGAAAUUGUGCUAGUUGAAAUUAUAUGCCUGCUUCAGAUAUAAUAUUUACAUUUAACCAGUGACUUCUAAAUUAAGAGGACGAGAACCAUUUAUAUCCCGAAUCACGGCAACCGAUUACAAUCAUACAAAAAUGUUUCUUUUUAUCUGGAGCUAAAUAUCUGCUAUUCAUACAGUUCAUUACUUUUAAGAACAAUUUAAAGAAAAUAAUUAAUUAAGGCUGUAAAAUGUGUGGAUUCAAAGACGUGGGAUUAGACGUCUGUACAUGGAGUCAUGAGCUAAUAAUAGUUUCUGACAUUUAAAACAACAGGGCUACGUUUAUACUAUACUUUGUUUUUAUAGUUUAGCUAAGUUUCAGAGGCCUCCAUUAAAUAACAGUCAAGAUAUACACGCAAAUAUAAUUUGCUUGUCUAUAUUUAAAAUUUGUAAUUGUUUCGUGAAGAUUCAACCGUAAAACAAUUGUCGGAAGUGCAAGCCCUGAUUAUAAAAACUCAGGGAAAACCCGUGCGGUAUGAAAUGCGUGGCGUAAACAUGUCAAUCAAAUAUCAUUCUAUAAAUAUGACGUUUUAUAUUUGCACAGUACAUCGUGUACGUUUUUGUUGUAGAACUUGUGUUGUUCAAAUCGAAUAUGAAGUAAAAUCAGGAGCAUACUGUCACAGGCUAAUUUUGUAUUUUAAUACCCUCUGGAAAUACAAAGGCUUUGGUACCCCUAUCUAUCACAAAAUGUAACAAAUCCAAAACAAAGUAUGAGGACUAAUAUUUUUCCUAUCAUUUGACAGAUUAAAAGUAUUAUUCAAGAAAUAUGUCCAUUUUAAUCAUAACGUGAUACAAAAAUACUAAAUAACAUGCAAAAUUCAGUGCCAAAGAGGGAUUUAUUUGGCGGUAGUUAAAUUAAAUAUGUAAACAUAAUAUGUUCUCAAACUGGCACAGUUUAAUACAAAUUGGCAAUUAAAGCUCGCAAUGCUAUAUAUUUGGUUUGAUACGAAGAUAAAAUAGUAAGUACUCAUAAUAAUUACAAUAUGUCCAUGACCUAAUUACUCAAAAAUUUAGAUUAUUAAAUCACAUAAUGGAACAACUUGCAAUUUGCUACGCUCACUCGUUAGCAAUAUUCUCUUCAACACUCGAAAUAUAUUACAUAUUUCCGCACAUUCGCACAACCAUGUAUAAAUAUUCUCUAUACAUUCCAGUUUACCUUUAAUUUUUCAAGUGGUAGGCAAGAUAUUAGUCCUUUUGAUUUGUUAUUCUCUUGACCCGACACGGGAGUGAUAGGCACUUGAAAAAAUGACAGUUGCAUACUUGCGUGUAAUUUGCUCGGAACAAUU